GUAACCGCGGUGCGAGCGGCGGCGGUAUGACGGUGGGUACAUGCGUUGUCCGUAAUCAGUAGGUUUAAAGGGUCCGGAGGCGGUGAAAUAAGUGAGUGGUGAAAUCCGGCAGCUCAACUGUGGCACGGGCAUUGAUACUGUGUAACUUGAAUUAGUGUGAAGUAACUAGAAUAUGUAGUGUAGCGGUGAAAUGCUGAUAGAUUACAGGGAAUACCAAUUGCGAAGGCAGGUUACUAACAAUACAUUGACGCUGAUGGACGAAAGCGUGGGGAGCGAACAGGAUUAGAUACCCUGGUAGUC
rnacentral:rRNA from 1 species